GACGAACGCUGGCGGCGUGCUUAACACAUGCAAGUCGAACGGAAAGGCCCUGCUUUUGUGGGGUGCUCGAGUGGCGAACGUGUGUGUAACACGUGAGUAACCUGCCCUUGACUUUGGGAUAACUUCAGGAAACUGGGGCUAAUACCGGAUAGGAGCUCCUGCUGCAUGGUGGGGGUUGGAAAGUUUCGGCGGUUGGGGAUGGACUCGCGGCUUAUCAGCUUGUUGGUGGGGUAGUGGCGUACCAAGGCUUUGACGGGUAGCCGGCCUGAGAGGGUGACCGGGCACAUAGGGACUGAGAUACGGCCCAGACUCCUACGGGAGGCAGAAGUGGGGAAUAUUGCACAAUGGGCGGAAGACUGAUGCAGCAAAGCCGCGUGCGGGAUGACGGCCUUCGGGGUGUAAACCGUGUUCGCCUGUGACGAAGCGUGAGUGACGGUAAUGGGUAAAGAAGCACCGGCUAACUACGUG
rnacentral:rRNA from 1 species